rnacentral:rRNA from 1 species
AAGAGACAGCAGUCGCCGCGGGAAUACGGAGGAUCCAAGCGUUAUCCGGAAUCAUUGGGUUUAAAGGGUCCGUAGGCGGUCUUGUAAGUCAGUGGUGAAAGCCCAUCGCUCAACGGUGGAACGGCCAUUGAUACUGCAGGACUUGAAUUAUUGGGAAGUAACUAGAAUAUGUAGUGUAGCGGUGAAAUGCUUAGAGAUUACAUGGAAUACCAAUUGCGAAGGCAGGUUACUACCAAUUGAUUGACGCUGAUGGACGAAAGCGUGGGUAGCGAACAGGAUUAGAUACCCCAGUAGUCCCUGUCUCUUAUAC